AACGAACGCUGGCGGCAUGCCUUACACAUGCAAGUCGAACGGUAACGGGCCUUCGGGUGCCGACGAGUGGCGAACGGGUGAGUAAUGUAUCGGAACGUACCUUUCAGUGGGGGAUAACGUAGCGAAAGUUACGCUAAUACCGCAUAUUCUGUGAGCAGGAAAGCAGGGGAUCGCAAGACCUUGCGCUGAUUGAGCGGCCGAUGUCAGAUUAGCUAGUUGGUGAGGUAAAGGCUCACCAAGGCGACGAUCUGUAGCGGGUCUGAGAGGAUGAUCCGCCACACUGGGACUGAGACACGGCCCAGACUCCUACGGGAGGCAGCAGUGGGGAAUUUUGGACAAUGGGGGCAACCCUGAUCCAGCCAUGCCGCGUGAGUGAAGAAGGCCUUCGGGUUGUAAAGCUCUUUCGGCCGGGAAGAAAUCGCACAGGCUAAUACCUUGUGUGGAUGACGGUACCGGAAUAAGAAGCACCGGCUAACUACGUGCCAGCAGCCGCGGUAACAC
rnacentral:rRNA from 1 species